AUUGAACGCUGGCGGCAGGCCUAACACAUGCAAGUCGAACGAGCGGCGGACGGGUGAGUAAUGCCUGGGAAACUGCCCGAUGGAGGGGGAUAACUACUGGAAACGGUAGCUAAUACCGCAUACCAGCGGAUGUGCCCAGAUGGGAUUAGGUAGUAGGUGGGGUAACGGCUCACCUGGGCGACGAUCCCUAGCUGGUCUGAGAGGAUGACCAGCAACCCGUGGACUGAGACACGGUGCAGACUCCUACGGUGGGCAGCAGUGGGGAAUAUUGCACGAUGGGCGCAAGCCUUAUGCAGCCAUGCCGCGUGUAUGAAGAAGGCCUUCGGGUUGUAAAGUUCUGUGAGCGAAGAGGCGUUACUCGCAGAAGAAGCAUCGGCUAACUCCGUGCCAGCAGCCGCGGUAAUAC
rnacentral:rRNA from 1 species